GAUCUCCAGCAAUCAAGGGGGAGGAGAUGGCUUUGUAAGUGUUCGAUUUUCAACUCUCUGCCUGCCCUAUCCCUGAGAGACCUUCUGUAUCAUACACUUGCCAUCUGUGCCUUGUGUCAGAGGGUGAGCCUUUAUGAGAAAAACAAUCCUUGUGGUGGCUGGUGUGAACUUGGGAGGGAGACAUCCAGCAUCUCCACAUUCCUCACCCACACCUUGGGGCAGCCUUGGGCAGGAUCCAGCCCCAGCCAAGGAACGUGUCCUCCACAGGGACUUAUGGAGGGCGGGUGUGAAAAGGCGACUAGGAUUCCGUCUCAGACAAAGAAGGAGAUUGUGACACCUGCCCCAACAGGGAUGAACCUUGAGGACGUGAGGCUGAGCGAAAGAAGCCAGUCACGAAAGCACAAAUCCUGCGCGAUCCCACUUACGUGAGGUUCCUGGGGUGGGCAAAUUCAUAGAGACAGAAAGUGGAGCAGUGGUUGCCAGAGCCUGUGCUGCGGGGAGGAAGGAACAGGGAGGGAUUGUAACGGGGCAGAGUCUCAGUUUGGGAAGAUGACAGAUGUUUUGGAGAUGGACGGUGGUGAUGGUUGCGCAAGAAUGUGAAUGUAUUUAAUUCCACUCAGCUCUGCACCUACAAAUGGCCAGUUUUUGUUGUGCAUAGUUACACACACACAGACACACACACACACAGACACACACACACACACGAGCCAGGCCCUGCCCCUCGGUGCUGCAUCUCAGUGGGAAAUCUUGAGGUUGUUUCUGGUGAAUUGUGGGAUUCUGGACAUCGCCAUGUUUUUCUUUGAGCCUUAAUAUACUUUCCCAAUUCCCUGCAAAGAGCACUUAUUACUUUAAUAAUUGGAGGGGAGAGAGGUCACUCCAAGAAUCUAAAAGCAAAUAGGAAGGGAGAGAAUGGGGACUUACUUGUCUGGAUCUCAUUCUCCCCUUUCCCAGGGCCUGCCUGUGUCUUGUCCCAGUGAGCAAGGUCGCAGUUGAUAAGCUCCGAGGAUGGACUAGAGGGUCAGGGGGCUUAUCAGAAUACUGGGAAGGCUCGUACUGCCCCACUAGCCCCUGCCCCAAAGAGAGGUUGGCAGGGCCUCCCACUGAGCCCUGCACUGGUGCCUGCUGGAGA
rnacentral:lncRNA from 1 species